AUUAGAUUACCUGGGUGGUGCUUUAAAGAUGCUAAUAGCAGGGUUUCUAAUUGGUUUGGAUGCUACUUAGGAUUGUUAAAAAGUCUCAGGUGUUUGCAGUAGACCAAAUAAAGAAAAUCAGGCUCACCAAUGAGAAUGCUUGCAUGCCUGUUCAGUUGUGUCUGACUCUUUGCAGACCCAUGGACCAUAGCCCAUCAGGCUCUCGGGUCUGUGGGAUUCUCCAGGCGGAUUCUUUACCACUGGGCCACCUGGGAAGCCCCCACCAACUAAGAUGGGCGUGAUCCAAUUGAUUGAAGGCCUGAGGAGAACAAAAAGAUGGAGGCAGGGGACAUUUGCUUUCUCUGAGCUGAGACGUUCGUUUCCUCCUGGCCUACUAGAUCAGCACUCCUGGUUCUUGGGCUUUUGGACCCAGAUUGUGAAAUCAGUGCCCCAAUUCUCAGGGCUACGGAUUCCGACUUAACUAUGCCACCAAUCUUCCUGAUUUUUCCAGCUUGCAAGACGGCAGACCAGGGAACUUCUCAGUAUUCAUAACUACGUUAACUGACCAUAUAAGCAUAGGCUUGGGAUUCCCUGGUGACUCAAACAGUAAAGAAUCUGCCUGCAAUGUGGAAGACCUGGGUUCAGUCUCUGGUUUGAGAAGAUCCCCUGAAGGAGGGCAUGGCAGCCCACUUCAGUAUUCUUGCCUGGAGAAUCCCUAUGAACAGAGGAGUCUGGCAGGCUAUAGUCCAUGGGGUGGCAAAGAGUCAGACAUGACUGAGUGGCUAAGCACAAGCAGAAGCUAAUUACUGAGUUCUUUACUCUGUUCCAUUGAUCAGUGUUUCUAUUUUUGUAUCAGUAACAAAGGUCAGUCUAGUCAAGGCUAUGGUUUUUCCAAUGGUCAUGUAUGGAUGUGAGAGUUGGACUGUGAAGAAAGCUGAGUGCCGAAGAAUUGAUGCUUUUGAACUGUGGUGUUGGAGAAGACUCUUGAGAGUCCCUUGGCCUGCAAGAAGAUACAACCAGUCCAUUCUGAAGGAGAUCAGCCCUGGGAUUUCUUUGGAAGGAAUGAUGCUAAAGCUGAAACUCCAGUACUUUGGCCACCUCAUGCGAAGAGUUGACUCAUUGGAAAAGACUCUGAUGCUGGGAGGGAUUGGAGGCAAGAGGAGAAGGGGACGACAGAGGAUGAGAUGGCUGGAUGGCAUCACUGACUCGAUGGGCAUGAGUCUCAGUGAACUCUGGGAGUUGGUGAUGGACAGGGAGGCCUGGUGUGCUGCGAUUCAUGGAGUCGCAAAGAGUUGGACACAACUGAGUGACUGAACUGAACUGAACUGAACAUAUAAUUAGCUCAGUUGGGAAAGAAUCUGCCUGCAGUGCAGGAGACCUGGAUUCGAUCCCUGGGUUGGGAGGAUCCCUGGAGAAGGAAAUGGCGACCCACUCCAGUAUCCUUGCCUGGAAAAUCUCAUGGACAGAGGAGCCUGGUGGGCUGCAGUUCCUGGGGUCGCAAAGAGUUGGGCAUGACUGAGUGACUAACAUAUUAUUUGAAUUACUGUAGCUUUGUAGUGUAGUCUGAAAACAGUGUGCAUGAUACCUCUAUCUCUGUUCUUUUUCAGUGUUGUUUUGGCUCUUUGGGGUCUUCUGUGUUUCCAUACAAAUUUUAAAACUAUUGGUUCUAGUUCUAUGAAAAAUGCCACAAGUAUUUUGAUAAAGAUUGCACCAAAUCUACAGAUAACCUUGGGUAGUAUGAUCAUAUUAACAAUAUUAAUUCUUCUAAUCCAUAAACAUGGUAUAUCUUUUUAUCUAUUUGCAUCAUGUUCAAUUUCUUUCAUCAUGUCUUAUAGUUUUCCAAGUAUAGUUUUUUUUUUUUUUUUUUUUUUUACCUCCUUAGGCAGAUUUAUUCCUAGGUAUUUUAUUAUUUUGGUUUCAAUGAUAAAUGGGGUCUUUCCUUAAUUUGUCUUUUAGUUCAUUGUUAGUGUAUAGACAUGCAACAGAUUACUGCAUAUUAAUUUUAUAUCCUGCAACUUUAUCAAAGUAGUUUUUGGGUAGUGUCUUUAGAAUUUUCUAUGAAUAUAUAGUAUCAUUAGUAUACUAUAUAUAGUAUAAUAUAUAGUAUUAUUUCAUUGGUACACAGUGAGAGUUUUAGCUAUUCCUUCCCAAUUUGGGUUGCUUUUAUUUCUUUUCCUGUCCAAAUGCUGUAACUAGGACUUACAAUUCUAUAUUGAGUUAAAAGUGGUGAGAAUGGGCAUCCUUGUCUUAUUCCUGGUCUUAGAAGAAAUGCUUUCAACUUUUAACCAUUGAGUACGAUAUUAAUUGUGGAUUUAUCAUGUAUGAUCUUUAUUAUAAUAUGUUGAUAUAUGUUCCUUUUAUACCCACCUUCUGGAGAGUUUUUGUUAUAAAUGGAUGUUGAAUUUUGUCAAAAGCUUUCUCUGCAUCAGUUGAGAUGGUCAUAUGGUUUUUAUUCAAUUUGUUAAUGUAGUGUAUCACAUUUGUAGUUCUUUUUUAUUCCUUCUUUUGUUUUCUUGUGAUUCCAUGACUAUUUUUAGUGUUAUGUUUGGAUUCCUUUUUCUUUUGUGUUUGUAUAUCUAUUAUGUAUUUUUGGUCUGUGGUUACCAUGAGGUUUCUGUAUAAUAGUCUGUAUAUAUACAUUAUUUUUUAAGUUGCUAAUCACUUAAUUUCAAAUGCAUUUUAACAAGCCUGCUUUUGUACUGUCCUUCAUGAUUACUGUUGACAUCAUAUUUUAUAUAUAAUUGUGUAUUUCUUAACAGCUUAUUGUAGGUAUAGAUAAUUUUACUACUUUGUCUUUUAAACUUCUUACUAGCUUUGUGCAUGGAAAGUUUACUAAUAACUUCACUGGUAUAUUUGCCUUUAUUGAAGGGUUUUUUUCCUUUCAUAAUUUUCAUGUUUCUAGUAGUGGCUUUUUCUUUUUCACUUAGAGAAGUAGCUUUAACAUGUCUUGUAAAGCUGGUUUGUUGGUGUCAAAAUCUUGGCUUUGUUUGUUUUAUGCUCUCUGAAGCAAAUCUGAAUAAAAACCUUACCUUGUAUAAUACUCUUUUGCUAUAGUUUUUUUCCUUUUAUCGCUGUAAAUAUAUAGUGUCACUCUCUUCUGGCUGCAGAAUUUCUGCUGAAAAGUCAACUUAUGGGAACCUUAUGGGAGUUCCCUUGUAUGUUAUUUGUUCCUUUUUUUCUUGCUGCCUUUAAUAGUCUUUCUUUAUCUUUAAUUCAUGCCAUUUUAAUUAUAAUGUGUCUUGGUGUAUUCCUCUUUGGAUUCAUCCUGUGUGGGACUCUAUACCUCCUGGACUUGGAUGUCCAAUUCUUUCCCCAGUUUAGGCAAGAUUUCAGCCAUUAUGUCUUCAAAUAUGUCCUCAGCCCCUUUGUCUCUCUCUUCUCCUUCUGGGACCCCCAUAUUGCAAGUAUUAGCAGAUUUAAUAUUGUCUCAGAAGUCUCCUAAACUGUCUUCAUUUCUUUUCCUUCUUUUUUUGUGUUCAGUGUCAUUGAUUUUUGACUACUCGGAAUGUCUUUAUCAUUUACUCUAUUGUUAAUCCCUUCUAGUGUAUUUUUCAUUAAGUUAUUUUAUACAUCUGUUUGGUUGUUCUUUAUAUUUUAUAACUCUGUUAAACUUUCAAUUUCUCCUUCUGUGCAUCCAUUCUUCUCUUGAGUUCUUUGACCACCUACAAUAAUUUUCCCAAGCUCUUUCUUGGGUAGACGGUCUAUUUCCACUUCACUUACGUCCUGUUCUGGAGUUUUGUCCUUUGUUUGGACGUAUUACUCUGUCACCUUAUUUUGCCUAACUUGCUGCUUUUAUUUCUUUACAUUUCCUGAAACUGGAGAAGUGGCUUUUGUAGGAGACAACCUAUGU
ensembl:lncRNA